CAGCCGCCACGGUAAUACGUAGGGUGCAAGCGUUAAUCGGAAUUACUGGGCGUAAAGCGUGCGCAGGCGGUUAUAUAAGACAGAUGUGAAAUCCCCGGGCUCAACCUGGGAACUGCAUUUGUGACUGUAUAGCUAGAGUACGGCAGAGGGGGAUGGAAUUCCGCGUGUAGCAGUGAAAUGCGUAGAUAUGCAGAGGAACACCGAUGGCGAAGGCAAUCCCCUGGGCCUGUACUGACGCUCAUGCACGAAAGCGUGGGGAGCAAACAGGAUUAGAUACCCGAGUAGUCCCUGUCUCUUAUAC
rnacentral:rRNA from 1 species